rnacentral:rRNA from 1 species
CAGCAGCCGCGGGAAUACGUAGGGUGCAAGCGUUAAUCGGAAUUACUGGGCGCAAAGCGUGCGCAGGCGGUUCGUUAAGACAGAUGUGAAAUCCCCGGGCUUAACCUGGGAGCUGCAUUUGUGACUGGCGGGCUAGAGUAUGGCAGAGGGGGGUAGAAUUCCACGUGUAGCAGUGAAAUGCGUAGAGAUGUGGAGGAAUACCGAUGACGAAGGCAGCCCCCUGGGCCAAUACUGACGCCCAUGCACGAAAGCGUGGGGAGCAAACAGGAUUAGAUACCCCCGUAGUCCCUGUCUCUUAUAC